rnacentral:lncRNA from 1 species
CAAGAAACUUCUUUGUUCUUUAGAGACUGAGCUUUAUCCCCAAGCACUAACAGAAUUGAAGUGGAAGAAGUUGGAAUUAUUCAUUUUGGUGCUGUGACACAAUGAGGUUCCUGCUCCCAAGAGGCUGAACCUGGCCUUGGAGUACAUGGGAUUUUAGGAAUGGAAUAAAGCCCAUUCUGCCUGUCUCACUCCGAAUUGCUCAGGCUGUAAGAUGUGGUACUGGGGGUAGUACUAGCCUCCAUAUUUCAUACCAUGUGGUGUGG